rnacentral:rRNA from 1 species
GUGCCAGCAGCCGCGGUAAUGCGAAGGGUGCUAGCGUUAAUCGGAAUUACUGGGCGUAAAGGGAGUGCAGGCGGUUACGUGUGUCAGGUGUGAAAGCCCUGGGCUCAACCUGGGAAUGGCAUUUGAAACUGCGUAACUAGAAUAUGGUAGAGGAAGACGGAAUUCCACGUGUAGCGGUGAAAUGCGUAGAUAUGUGGAGGAACACCAAUGGCGAAGGCAGUCUUCUGGGCCAAUAUUGACGCUGAGGCUCGAAAGCGUGGGUAGCAAACAGGAUUAGAUACCCCGGUAGUCC